UACGAAGGGGCUAGCGUUGUUCGGAAUUACUGGGCGUAAAGCGCACGUAGGCGGAUAUUUAAGUCAGGGGUGAAAUCCCAGAGCCUCAACUCUGGAACUGCCUUUGAUACUGGGUAGUCUCGAGUAUGGGAGAGGUGUGUGGAACUCCGAGUGUAGAGGUGAAAUUCGUAGAUAUUCGGAAGAACACCAGUGGCGAAGGCGACACACUGGCCCAUUACUGACGCUGGAGGCGCGAAAGCGUGGGGAGCAAACAGG
rnacentral:rRNA from 1 species